UAGGUUCUGUGAUGGUAUAUCUGAGGGGCC
rnacentral:piRNA from 1 species